GCAGCGGCAGUCUCUAACCGAGGGCCACCCUUCUAUGUGAAGGGGGUGGGCGGACUCAAGGCAGGACCACCCCAGGUCCUGUGCAAGCCACUCUCAGCCCAGAACAUCAGAAGCUCUGGAGCCCAAGCUACCAGAACCACAGAAACUGCAAGUUACCCUCAUCUGGCAACGUGAGAGCAGCAACGCCUGCGGUGGAGAGAAACCGCUUAGCUGACAGGGCCUGAGCUCCAACAGCUGCCUGGAGACCCUCUGGGCCAGUGGCCCUGUGGCCCCCGAGAAGUCAGAGGUGGUUGCUAUCCUGCCUUGCCUUCCUUGGGCCAUGCACUACGAAGUGUUUUUGUCAGAAGCUAGGACCCUGUGCAGUUCUCAUCAGUGUGCACAAAAGCUGAGGUUCCUGAAAGGAGGCCAGGCUGAGACCCUGCCCCAUGGGAGACUCGAUGCUGUGACUGUGGCCUCCUGACCUGAAGUCUGACCCUGGAGGCUGGCAGGGCCUGCUGCUCCCGGGAUGCUCCAGCAGAUGUGUGCAUGAUGUCGAAAGCCACGCAGAGACCAAGUUCUCAGCCUCGGCAAACCCCGAUUCCUCAGUAACAGAUUACUUUUUACUGCCCUGGAAUGUUGCUCGCUGUAUAUGACACAUCCACAGGUGUAGAUAUCAACAAGCUUUCUAAUGCACUGGCCUGUCCUCAUGAGGGGCCUAAGGCACAGAGAGACCCGCCUUGCUUCAGACCACGCCCUAGUGUGGCCGAGGAGGAGCGUGCCCAGAAAACACACCUUCAGUUACAGGGCCCAGCGCUCCGAGCAGCCACCCUUCAUUUCC
rnacentral:lncRNA from 1 species